rnacentral:rRNA from 1 species
CCAAUAGCGUAUAUUAAAGUUGUUGCAGUUAAAAAGCUCGUAGUUGAAUUUCGGGAUCAAUUUAUUGGUCGUGCAAUAGUACGUACUGGUAUUAUUGAUUCCUACCUUCUGACGAACCAUGAUGUCAUUAAUUUGGUGUUAUGGGGAAUCAGGACUGUUACUUUGAAAAAAUUAGAGUGUUUAAAGCAGGCUCACGCUUGAAUACAUUAGCAUGGAAUAACGAAAUAGGACGUUUGAUUCUAUUUUGUUGGUUUCUAGGAUCGACGUAAUGAUUAAUAGGGAUAGUUGGGGGCAUUAGUAUUCAAUUGUCAGAGGUGAAAUUCUUGGAUUUAUUGAAGACUAACUACUGCGAAAGCAUUUGCCAAGGAUGUUUUCAUUAAUCAAGAACGAAAGUUAGGGGAUCGAAGACGAUCAGAUACCGUCGUAGUCUUAACCAUAAACUAUGCCGACUAGGGAUCGGAUGAUGUUAAUUUUUUAAUGACUCAUUCGGCGCCUUACG